CUGACCCUGGAGCCCACCUGCCCGCCGUGAAUAAAUCCACGAGUAAAAAUCUUGGGCUUUCAACGCCGCCCGCCAGGCAGCACUAAUGGCGGCUUUGUAGCCCUGAGAAGGUUGAUUUUGGACCUGUGUUGUAACCUUAUUUCCUUCUUUUGUUCCUGGCUGGAGAGCCUAUGUGAUCUCUGGACCUAGCUCAUCAUUUUGCCUUCUCUGGGACUAUUGGAGGGCCCUGUUACCAGACUACCAGUAAGCAGUGUGAUCUAUGUACUGUGUUCAGAUGUGGGACUGUGCCUUGGUCAGCACAGGCACUGCCUGCACUGAGUCAUCCUCGGCCUGUGGCUUUCCCUCCCUUAAAGGAGCAGCUGGCCCUUACUGCUUCUUGGCACAAGACUUUCCAUAGUGGACAAAUAAUGAAUGCUGAAAACCAGUGAAAUCAUCAAGGCUGAGGCUCAUCCCUCAGAAGGAUACUGGGAGGAACAUGAAUGUCGGAGAACAGCAUGACAAGCCAUAACAAUCACAAGACCAAAUGUGUAGCCUCUGUGAUGCAAAUUAUAUUUAACCAGCUCUGGGGACUGAAUAUGGAUUGGUGCUUUGCAAAAAGACCUGAAGAGAGCUGAGGUAGUCUGUGGUAGUCUUGAAAGACGUUGACUUAUGUCUUCUCUUACUAAGAAAGAGAUUGCUACCAUUCUGGAUAGCAUUAUUGUUCCAAGCAUGUGGUAAGGUUUUUUUGAUUAUUUAUGAAAAGGAUACAUUGAGGAUGAAGUAAUAACCUAUGCUGGGAAUGAACUAGCAACUACUGUAAUCACUGUACCAUUUUAAUCCUCCCUUUCACAACCAUCAGAUGUGUUUUAUAAUUUUUCAAAUUCAUAUUUGAUAUACUAUCAUUUUUUUACAAUGCCUGUGAUGCUAACCAGUAUUCUC